UACGUAGGUGGCAAGCGUUGUCCGGAAUUAUUGGGCGUAAAGCGCGCGCAGGCGGUUUCUUAAGUCUGAUGUGAAAGCCCACGGCUUAACCGUGGAAGGUCAUUGGAAACUGGGAGACUUGAGUGCAGAAGAGAAGAGCGGAAUUCCACGUGUAGCGGUGAAAUGCGUAGAGAUGUGGAGGAACACCAGUGGCGAAGGCGGCUCUUUGGUCUGUAACUGACGCUGAGGCGCGAAAGCGUGGGGAUUAAACAGG
rnacentral:rRNA from 1 species